rnacentral:rRNA from 1 species
GACGAACGCUGGCGGCGCGCCUAACACAUGCAAGUCGAACGAGCGAGAGAGAGCUUGCUUUCUUGAGCGAGUGGCGAACGGGUGAGUAACGCGUGAGGAACCUGCCUCAAAGAGGGGGACAACAGUUGGAAACGACUGCUAAUACCGCAUAAGCCCACGACCCGGCAUCGGGUUGAGGGAAAAGGAGCAAUCCGCUUUGAGAUGGCCUCGCGUCCGAUUAGCUAGUUGGUGAGGUAACGGCCCACCAAGGCGACGAUCGGUAGCCGGACUGAGAGGUUGAACGGCCACAUUGGGACUGAGACACGGCCCAGACUCCUACGGGAGGCAGCAGUGGGGAAUAUUGCACAAUGGGGGAAACCCUGAUGCAGCGACGCCGCGUGGAGGAAGAAGGUCUUCGGAUUGUAAACUCCUGUUGUUGAGGAAGAUAAUGACGGUACUC